rnacentral:rRNA from 1 species
UGAACGCUGGCGGCGUGCUUAACACAUGCAAGUUGAGCGGUAAGGCCCCUUCGGGGGUACACGAGCAGCGAACGGGUGAGUAACGCGUGGGUAAUCUACCUAGAGGUGGGGGAUAGCCUCGGGAAACCGGGGGUAAUACCGCAUGAGUCCUUUCCAACACAAGUUGGAUUGGGGAAAGGCGGGGAUCUUCGGACCUGUCGCCUCUGGAUGAGCCCGCGUCCGAUUAGCUUGUUGGUGAGGUAAUGGCUCACCAAGGCAUCGAUCGGUAGCCGGCCUGAGAGGGUGAACGGCCACAUUGGGACUGAGACACGGCCCAGACUCCUACGGGAGGCAGCAGUGGGGAAUUUUGGGCAAUGGGCGAAAGCCUGACCCAGCGACGCCGCGUGGAGGAUGAAGGCCUUCGGGUUGUAAACUCCUGUCAGGUGGGAAGAAGAGCCCUGUGGAUAAUACCCACAGGGAAUUGACGGUACCACCAAAGGAAGCCCCGGCUAACUCC